ACAUGCUUUGCGCCAGCCCCAUGGCGCUGUCGGGCUCCCUGAAGCCACAGCCUGCUCUGACUCCCACAGCCAAAUCGAGUCAAAGACCAAUUAAUAUUCUGAUACCUGUGGCCGCCGAAGUGAGGCGGAGCGGCUGGUUUCUUUUCCAUUUCACUCCCACUGUGGUUUCGCUUUCUUCCCAGCCCUCCUCUGGGUGAAUUGUCGAUUGAUUUGUUAUUUAUCCCACUGACAACAAAGCGAGCGAAAAGGUUAGCUUGCAUUCACCAAAAAGGGAGACAGCCACUGUGACCGGAAGUUCCCAGAGAAACAAGUUUGCCCAGUGGAAUUUGCCUUUGUGAACUCCUGCCAGACUGUAAAGGA